rnacentral:ncRNA from 1 species
UAGGUCCUAAUUUCGUAGGUCGCACACACAGCGUCUCUAGUUCUUUUAAAAAAUAUUAUCAUACUUCUACAACUGAUAAAUUAAUAAAUGGUUUAUAUUUAAACAGAAAAGCUCCUAUUAAGCCUUUUAAAGACAAUGUAAUUAAAACUUGUGAGGAUUUAUUGUCUCCUUCGGAUCUUAAGACUUUUUUCAGAAGUAUUAAAAGUAAAGGGGGUAUAUAUAUAUUUACUUACAAAGAAAAUCCUGAGAUUUUUUAUAUAGGAAGAGCUAAAAAUUUUAGAAAUAGAUUUAAAGCUCAUCUUAAUAUAAAUUUACAAGAUAAAUUUCAUAUUUUUGCUAAUGCUGUAGGUUGAGAUAAAUUUCAUUUUUCAAUUAUUCAGAUUUGUAGUUUAGAUAUUCAAAAAGAAAGAGAGAAUUAUUAUUUACAAAAAUACUUACCUUUAUUAAAUACAAUAUAUAAAAGUGAGAUGUAUACUAUACAAAAUUACGACUCUUUACAUGAAAUAUUAAAACUUAAACAAUUAGAAUGAAACAAAGAUAAUAAAUAUUCAGGUAUACCUGUCUAUUUAUAUACUUAUAGUGAAGGAUCACUUAAGGAUAACUAUAUCAAAUUCGAGAGUAUUAAUAAAUUAUCUCAAUAUUUAAAUAUAAGCAGAGAAACUAUAAAUAUUUAUUUAAAUACUUAUGUUCCUUAUAAAAGCAAUAUUUUUUUAACUGAUUUAAUAGUAGAUUUUGAAUUAAUAGACAAAUUAGUAAGUGAUACCAUUCAAGGAUUAGAUUUAGAUCGUACUAUAAGUAAAAAAGUCUGAGUUUAUUCUAUAGAUACAAAAAGUAAUAUUGUUAAAAACAUUUAUAAUUCUAUAGGUGAGACAAUUAAAAUUUUAAAUGUGUCACAUAAUUUAGUAAAUAAUCACUUAGAUAAGUGAAUACCUGGUGGUAUUAAAAACAAUUAUUUAUUUAGUAAUGAAUUGGAUAAUUUAAAUAUAGAAAGAUUAAAAGAAGUUCAUUUAUCUAGAAAACAUAAUAACCUUAAUGUUUGAAUAUAUAAUGCUAAUACUUUAGAAUUAAUAGGUAAUUUUAAUAGUAUAAAAAAAGCAGCAGAUUAUUUUAAUGUAGAUUAUAGAUCUUUAAUUAAUCAUUUAGAUACUAAAGAAGCUAUAAAUAAAGGAGGUAAAUUUAUAUAUUUAUUUAAAAAUGAGUUAGAUACAGAAGAUUUAAAUCUUUUAUCUAAUAAAUUUAAUAAAGUUUCUAAUAUGACAACUAGUAUUUGAGUAUAUAAAUAUGUAGAUGAUAAAUUAACUUUAAUCAAUGACAAUAAACCUAGCUAUAUUUCUAAAUUAUCUUUAUCUAAAGAUUUAAAAAUAAGUGUUAAAACAAUAAACAAAUAUUUAGAUUCAAAUGAAUCAUAUAAAGGGUAUUAUUUUUAUAGUAUAUGUAAAUAAUAGUAAAAAUAAAGCGUAGGAAACUUUAUUUGGCCUUUAAACCAUCAAAUUGACGGGGAAGCCUUAAAGCUAUUUAGACUAAGCAAAAUAAGUAAUUAAGUUGUGGCUCGAAAGAGGUAUAGUAACACAUAAAUAGAUGCACGAAAGGAAAUAGGUAAUCCGCAGCCAAGUGCCAUAUAUUUAUUGUAUAAGUAAUGGUGUGCAGUUCAUCGACUAGACGGUGGUUGGUAUUAUUGUUCACAUAAUACUUAAGAUAUAGUCAGACCCUAUCCGAAAGGAUACAGGAAUAUUUAUAUAAUAUUCUGUUAAAUGGAUAAUAUUUUUAUUAUUCAGGGAGAAGGCCCCUGCCUAAAUCUACAGUAUGAUUUUUUUUAUACAUGAUUAAAAGGGGAGAUUCGUAUUAUGGACUACUUCAAGC